rnacentral:sRNA from 1 species
AGAGCGCCCUUGCAGGCUAAGAACGCGACGUCCAUGUCGCAACGCCUGCACUAGCACGUCGUGUGCG